UAAGAAAUAUGGUUGAACAGGGUUUGAUCAGUCUUGUUAAAAUCCCUACAAAAUUUAAUCAUUCUAAUUUAGGAACAAAAAUUCUGACACUUAGUAAAUUUACAAAUUGUUUGAAAAUUCUGAACAUCACCUGAAAGACUGAUCAGGUGACAUUCAGAAGUUCAUUUGUUGAAAACUAAACUGACUUUAAUUUUUCUUUUUUACAGGUUCUUAGAGCUAAUGAAGUCAAGUUAAGCUUGAAUCCACUAGUUGAAACAAAGAAAUAGUUCAAUAAGGUGGAGAUUGUUAAAGAAAUGGGCUGUCUCACUAUUUCUUUAUUGGGCCUUAUUACUUAAACUGUUGGAGGCCCA
rnacentral:lncRNA from 1 species